UACGUAGGUGGCAAGCGUUAUCCGGAAUUAUUGGGCGUAAAGCGCGCGCAGGCGGUUUCUUAAGUCUGAUGUGAAAGCCCACGGCUCAACCGUGGAGGGUCAUUGGAAACUGGGGAACUGAGUGCAGAAGAGAAAAGCGGAAUUCCACGUGUAGCGGUGAAAUGCGUAGAGAUGUGGAGGAACACCAGUGGCGAAGGCGGCUUUUUGGUCUGUAACUGACGCUGAGGCGCGAAAGCGUGGGGAGCAAACAGG
rnacentral:rRNA from 1 species